rnacentral:rRNA from 1 species
GCGUGUAGGCGGCUCGGUAAGUCCGCUGUGAAAGUCCAGGGCUCAACCCUGGAAUGCCGGCGGAAACUGUCGAGCUAGAAUCCGGAAGAGGCGAGUGGAAUUCCUGGUGUAGCGGUGAAAUGCACAGAUAUCAGGAGGAACACCAAUGGCGAAGGCAGCUCGCUGGGACGGUAUUGACGCUGAGACGCGAAAGCGUGGGGAGCAAACAGGAUUAGAUACCCUGGUAGUCCACGCUGUAAACGAUGGGCACUAGGUGUGGGGGGUGUCGACUCCCUCCGUGCCGACGCUAACGCAUUAAGUGCCCCGCCUGGGGAGUACGGCCGCAAGGCUAAAACUCAAAGGAAUUGACGGUGGCCCGCACAAGCAGCGGAGCAUGUGGUUUAAUUCUACAUUACACGAAGAACCUUACCUGUGAUUGACAUGCUCCUGACAGCUGUGGAAACAUAGACUCUCCUCGCCGCCCGAUCACAGGUGGUGCAAGGUUGUCCUCAGCUCGCGUCGUGACAUGUCGUGAUAUGUCGCGAAAAGAGCGCA